GAGGGGUGCCGUAGCCUGGUCAAUCGGGGUGGAUCGGCCACCCACUGGCGUAGGCCUGCGUGGGUUCAAAUCCCACCCCCUCCACCA
rnacentral:tRNA from 1 species